rnacentral:misc_RNA from 1 species
CGCAUCUUGCGCCCCUUGGUAUUCCGAGGGGCAUGCCUGUUUGAGCGUCGUGAAACCCAUCGACCCUCGGCCUUGUAAUGGGGCUUCGGGGCGGAUUUGGGCGUCGCGGUCCCGUCGAAGGGGUCCGCCCGCCUUGAAAUGCAUCGGCCGGUCUCUAGCGUUUCGGGCCUGGACGGCGGCGUGAUAAGGCGCUCUCGUGCUGUAAUCGUCGCCCGUGGUCCCGGGGCUGAGGGGCGGCCUCUAAUGGUCUUCGGACGCUUCGCUUCGCGAUCUGUGACCUCAAAUCAGGCAGGACUACCCGCCGAACUUAA